CCUACGGGGGGCUGCAGUAACGAAUCUUCCGCAAUGUACGAAAGUAUGACGGAGCGACGCCGCGUGUAGGACGAAGCCCUUCGGGGUGUAAACUACUGUCAGGGGUUAGAUCGACCCCAGAGGAAGGCACGGCUAACUCUGUGCCAGCAGCCGCGGUAAGACAGAGGUGCCAAGCGUUAGGCGGAAUCACUGGGCUUAAAGCGUGUGUAGGCGGAAUUGUAAGUACCUUGUGAAAUCCCACGGCUCAACCGUGGAACUGCUUGGUAUACUGCGAUUCUUGGGCCAAUUAGGGGCAGCCGGAACAAAUGGUGGAGCGGUGAAAUGCGUAGAUAUCAUUUGGAACGCCAAGGGCGAAAGCAGGCUGCUGGAUGUGCCGACGCUGAGACACGAAAGCCAGGGGAGCAAACGGGAUUAGAUACCCUUGUAGUC
rnacentral:rRNA from 1 species